CACCACAUGCAGAAGAGAUGGGUCAAGAUCAAGAAGAGCUGUGCUCUGAAAGACACCUACAGGAGUUCUGUGACAAGGGGAGAGUUCAGCAACAUUCAAGUGGAGUCAUCUUAGGUGUUCCUGCUCUGAGAGAGUCACCUCCAGCCCAGACCAACGGAGAGACGGGAGAGAGAUGGUCUGUGGUCACCAAGCCAGCAGCACAGACCACAGCCAUCCCAUCAGCAAUGGGGACUACAACAAGACCUCACUGCCCACAGAUCCAGCUCCUCCCGCCAGUCGCUGUAAAUGUAGCCCUGGAGGGACGGGUGCCUCAGGUCAUCUUUGCCAUCACUCCACACGCUCUCUUCAAAGAGGUGCCCCAUCUGGCCAACCAGAUAAACCUCCUCACACCUCAGCUUGUGAGAAAAAAUGUUCCACAAAAAAAAUUGAACACAUGCAUUUUGUGACUCCUGUGAGCACAUCUUGUGUGCUAAUGGCUUUUCCUACUGAGACAUCUACUACUUUCUAAUACAUUUGUUCUCAUUAGAUGUGGUGGCUUCUCUUUUCCUACUGGGGCAUUGGAAGGGGUCAGCCUCUGCUUCUCUUCAGAGGAGCUUCUAGAAAGGUCGGGCCUGCAGGGAGGUGACAGUGGCAUUGAGGACACACCCACACCCUUGCUCCCCUCCUGCCCCUCAAGUGUUCAUCGUGUUGUCAUUUCAUAAACUGACAACAAAAAGCUCAGUAGCUUCACAUGUGACAGUGUGGUCACAGGAAUAUUGGACAGAUGGUGUGGUGGCCCUAGGUUCAGAGGUGAUAGAACUUGUCCAUCCCAGGCUUCUUGGUGGGUAAAAGCAAUGGCAUCUCUGUGAUCCCCUGCUCUGUCUGAUGAGGCUACAUGGGAAUAGGCCCCCCAGACCCUUUCACAACAGCCUUAAUGACAUGGCAGUGUCAUCACCCGACUUCAGCCUUCCUUGCUCUCUAGAGCGGCAGCCAGGAUGGAACGUGCAGGUCUGCAGACAAGAGAACUGCUAGGGGCCGCAUCAACCCUGCCUGAGGUCACCUGCCUUUCCUCUGGGCUUGGCUGUGUCUGUAGGAACCGUUCCAAGUUGCGUGUGUUGGGCCCAUGAUGAGAAGUAAGAGAAUAACUGCAAAGAUUUUAGCAAGGAAGGGAGCAGAGUGGCAUGUGGACAUCCUAAAGAGGGCAGAGCUUGGGAAGUUCAUGUCCACCGAGUGCCAUCACCAGCCUGGAGGAAGGCAGACCUAACAGACCUGUCCUCAUCCCAGGUCUCGCCUCACUCUGGCUCUCAGGCCACAGGCCUGGAGAAUCACCACUGGCUCCAAUGCAGAUGCAAGAGGGAGCCAAGCCUCAAGGCACAGAAGGUUACUCUCAGACAUAUUUCAUAAGUCUGCAUGUCAUCACCUCUUGAAUCCCAAGAAGAACCAAUUGGCAAGUACUAGAAAAGCCAGAGCCAGUGAAUUCUAGAUGUGACUUGCAGUCUGGUGAACAUUACACACAUUCUUGCAGCCCCAACACUUUUUUCAGGGAAGAGGUCAAGACCUAAAGUGACCUAGGGGUUGGUCUAGAUCACAAAGCAAAUUUCUGGCUCCAGUACUGACUUGUCCCAUAGACCAUCAGGGUAAUAGGCAAUGAGACAGGAUUUGUAAACACACGGGGAGUGACCUACCCAAAAUUCAGGAGCUUAACAGUUGAGGGGCACAGCCCCAAAAUGGUACCUACUGCAUGUCAUUCUGCUUCUGGUCCAGGUUUCCUCUCUCCAGAGCCGGUCCCCUUGGGAAUGCAGGAGGGUCCUAAAAGAAGGAACGAGGAAUGUGCUACUCUCCUCCUGAUUGUUGUGAUCAAUUACUAGAGAAAAACUGAGAAGAGGAAGGGAUUCUUUGGUUCAUGGUUUCAUAGGCAUAAGUCCAUAGUUAGCUGGGUCCAAGCCAGAAACAUCAUAGCAAGAGGGCCUGGUAGAGGAGAACUGCCCACCUCAUGGCUGCUUGGAAUCCGAGAGUGAAGAGCCUGACACAAGACAUACCCUUCAGACUCUUCCCUCUAGUACCCACUUCCUCCAAUUAGGCCACACCCCCUAAUGGUCCAAGCAAAUAUGAACUCACCUGUAGGUUAAUUCACUGAUGAUGUUAGUGACCUCACUGUCUGACCACCUUUCUAGACAUUGCUUACUCCAUUCAUGCUGACAGCCAAGAUUAACUAUCAUCACAAGGAGCAAUUUCUCCAGUAGCCUAUUCUGUGUCCCACACGUGGUGGGUUGUGGACCCCAGUUCCAAGGGCUUCAAUGUGCUCCCUGGAGGAGAGUCUCACAAGAAGUAGUACCACUGAGGCAGAUCUCAUGAGCAUGGGCCAGGCCCCC
ensembl:lincRNA